UCCCUGGUGGCUCAGACGGUAAAGCGUCUGCCUGCAAUGGGGGAGACCCAGGUUCGAUUCCUGGGUCGGGAA
rnacentral:tRNA from 1 species